CACUUAUUCCUAUCAUGUUUGC
rnacentral:siRNA from 1 species